GACGAACGCUGGCGGCGUGCUUAACACAUGCAAGUCGAACGGUAAGGCCUUCGGGUACACGAGUGGCGAACGGGUGAGUAACACGUGGGUGAUCUGCCCCCUACUCUGGGAUAAGCCUGGGAAACUGGGUCUAAUACCGGAUAUGACCUCCUUCUGCAUGGUUGGUGGUGGAAAGUUUUUUCGGUAGGGGAUGAGCCCGCGGCCUAUCAGCUUGUUGGUGGGGUAAUGGCCUACCAAGGCGACGACGGGUAGCCGGCCUGAGAGGGCGACCGGCCACACUGGGACUGUGACCCGGCCCAGACUCCUACGGGAGGCAGCAGUGGAGAAUAUUGCACAAUGGGCGAAAGCCUGAUGCAGCGACGCCGCGUGGGGGAUGACGGCCUUCGGGUUGUAAACCCCUUUCAGUCGGGACGAAGCGAGAGUGACGGUACCGAUAGAAGAAGCACCGGCCAACUACGUGCCAGCCGCCGCGGUAACAC
rnacentral:rRNA from 1 species